CAGGGGGCUCCUCCCGGGCUGGAACCACCCGGCUCGGCGGCGCGGGGUGGGCUGCCAUCACCUGACCGCCCGCCCCCGCCCCCCGCGAGUAAGGGGCGGUGGUAGCGUCUGCUCGGUUACAAAUGGCCCCUCCCGCUCCGCUCGCCCGCUCGCUCGAGCUCGGCGCGGACCCGCCCGGGAGCGCUCCUCGCAGCAGCUGCCCAGGUCCCAUUGCCCUACCGGGCGCGGGCGAUCAGACCACCUCAGAGGGCACGCUCAGAUACCCAGACGUCCGGCCACCUCAAUAGGCACACUCCGCACCCUGUGAUCCGACCAUCCGCGGAGGCGUGCUAGACCUCCGGGUGGGCGUGCUGGGCUUCUAUGCGGCGGAAGUCUAGACCACAGAUUGUGACUUCUCUUCUAGCAGUAGGUAUUGACUGGUCCCACUGCCGCCCUUCUGCCUGAGAGUAGUUCAAACUGGAGGGAAGAAGACAUAUGUGCUUGGUCUGCCGCCUUAAACCAGGAGUCUGAAAGAUGGGUCUGAAGGCUGCAGGCAAGGAUCUCUUAGACUGAGGAUAAUAGACACCAGAGCCGCACUACCACAGACAUCUCCACCAGAAACGUGAGUUUCUCCAUAAGCGCAACAAGUCAGAUUCACAGACCGGAAGGAAUGGUUGUGUUGGGGUUCAUUGAGGACUUAGCAGAGGCUGCGUGAGGGACUGUGUCUGUGCUGGCAUCCACAGUCCCACAUGCUUAGCUGCCACUGUGCCCAUGGAACUAUUAGCAAAUGAAAUUAAAUACUUCAGUUGCUUAGUAACUAAUCCAGUCUAAGAAAGAAGCAAAAAAUAGAAUACAUAAAUUUAGAACUUUUAGGCCACGUGCCAAGCAAAAUAUUCUUGCUUUUACAUCCUUCCGAUUAUCUGCAAUUUGAAUGGGAGAAAAUAUAUUUCAGCGUCUAAGAGUAUGUGUUGAUAUUCCUUGCUAAAAGUGAAUUCUUCUCAUUGGUUGAGCACUCGUGAGACAUGGUCUGGCUUCCAGGUCGAUGCCACACUGGCCCUCAGAAGCCCAAGUAGAAGAUACUGGUGACUCUGGAAUUUAUUUUUCUGUCAUAAUCAGAAAGCCAAAAGGCAUUCGGUGAUUCCAGU
rnacentral:sRNA from 1 species